GCUGAGCGCCUGAUCUAACCAGUCCUUUUUAUCUUGUAGAUGAAGAUAAAGGGAUUUUGAGAGCUUAAGAAAUUGACCCCAAAUGAGGACUGUACAGUCAGUUAUUGGCUCCAGGGUCUGAACUCAGACCAGAGCUCUCACCAUUAUCCUAUAGCAACAUCUCCUCAGCAUUAACACUUAGGGUUGGUGUUCUUACAGAGAAUAGCCAUGAUGUUUAUGUCUUUAAAGAUAAAUCUGGAUGUAGUAUCUGAACAGUGUGAGCAUACUUUACAAGGACCGUUGAGAACCAAGACUCUUCUGGAAACAUCUGUGAUCUAUGGUCCGAGGAUCUGAAGACGGUGAUUAGCUCAGGUUGUGGAGUGACUAAAGGUGCCACGUGGAGACCCUUCUCAUGGCCUGGCUGGCUCUGCCCCGAGGAGGCCCCGGGCAUCAGUGUCCGCAGGUGGGAUGGGAGCAGGCUCGUUGCCCCUGUUGGAAGUCUCAGGGAGGCCGUGCUUUCUGAAGGGCCCCAGCGACAGGACGGAGAGGGUGGCUCUGAGCCCAGCAGUCUUGCGUUCCAGCUCUGCCGCCACCACCAACUGGCCCUUUGACCUUGGAUAUGUCAUUUCACUCAAGCCUUGGUGCUGUCAUGUGUAAAGGUGGAUAAAAUGGCCAGGAAGCUUGCAAGAACCGUUCCAAAGGAGCUCGCAGCAGUGGGAAACGGAGAAGAUUUGCAGAUAAAGGGGCCAAACAGCCCCGAGUGGCAUCGUGGGAGGAAGUGUGACACCCAGCGGAGGGGCCUCCAAUGGACACGGGCAAAUGCCGUUUUCAACACUUUAAGCUCUUUUUCAUCUUUGCUUGUGGCUGCCUAGCCUUGGUCCCUACCCAUGCUCAGUAAAUUGUUGCAGUUCUUCUGUU